rnacentral:rRNA from 1 species
GACGAACGCUGGCGGCGUGCUUAACACAUGCAAGUCGAACGGAAAGGCCUCUUUCGGGGGGUACUCGAGUGGCGAACGGGUGAGUAACACGUGAGUAACCUGCCCUUGUCUUUGGGAUAACUUCCGGCAACUGGGGCGAAUACCGGAUAGGAGCUCCUGUUGCCCGGUGGGGGUUGGAAAGUUUCGGGGGCUGGGGAUGGACUCGCGGCUUAUCGGCUUGUUGGUGGGGUAAUGGAUUACCAAGGCGUUGCCGGGUAGCCGGUCUGUGGAGGUGACCGGCGACAUUGGGACUGAGGUGCGGCCCAGACACCUACGGUAGGCAGCAGGGGGGAAGAUUGCACGAGGGGUGGCAGCCUGGUGCAGCAGGGCCGUGGGCGGGAUGACUGCCUUCGGGUUGUAAACCGCUUUCGCUCGUGACUGAGCUUUGUGUGACGGUAGUGGGUAAAGAAGCACCGGCUAACUACGUG